AGGAAGGAAUAGGUUUGGAAAGUACAGCCGUUUCCCUCCAUAGCUGCUGAAUUUGCCUUUCCCCACAGAUAUUUUUUUAAAUGGAAGUAUUUCUCCACCUGCUGGCUUCAAGGAGGAUAUUGCAGCCUUCCAAACAGACAACUUCAUACAGGCAGUGGAAUACCUGCAUAAUAAAAGUCUGUUUGGGAUCAACAACAUUUCUGUGCUGAUACUCUGGAACUGCUGCAUCUGUAGACUGGUGAGAAGAGGACUGGAGGAUAUAACAUGAACUGCCUACAUCAAUCUAAAGCCUGGAAAGUUUUUAAUGGUUUUAAUGUGAAAACACUCCUGUUGUGAGGCCCUAAAGAACUCCUCCUAGAAAAGUGCAACCAAAGAAUAACCAAAAAUGAUGAUAAUUCAAUGUGAUGUAAGCAAUGCCACAGUUGAAGACUGCUCUCCAGAAGAGACCAAAAUCACAGCAGUGUUUGCUAACAAGGCUAUAACUUCACAUGAUUGGCACUGUAGUUUUGAGGAAAUUUCAACAUGUUGGUCAUUUCACAAGAAAUUGCAAGUAGUUUUGUUAGGUAAAUGUUGAUCAUUUGACAGAAGUUAGAUAGCAAUAUCUAUUCAGUAUUCAGUGUUGCACUAGAGAAGACAUUUAUGCUAUAAUAAAACAAUGUAAUUCUGAUAACCA
rnacentral:lncRNA from 1 species